rnacentral:rRNA from 1 species
UACGUAGGGCGCAAGCGUUGUCCGGAAUUAUUGGGCGUAAAGAGCUCGUAGGCGGUUUGUCGCGUCUGCUGUGAAAACUCGAGGCUCAACCUCGGGCUUGCAGUGGGUACGGGCAGACUAGAGUGCGGUAGGGGUGACUGGAAUUCCUGGUGUAGCGGUGAAAUGCGCAGAUAUCAGGAGGAACACCGAUGGCGAAGGCAGGUCUCUGGGCGAUUAAACUGACGCU